UACAGAGGUCCCAAGCGUUGUUCGGAUUCAUUGGGCGUAAAGGGUGCGUAGGCGGCGCGGGAAGUCGGGUGUGAAAUCUCGGAGCUUAACUCCGAAACUGCAUUCGAUACUGCCGUGCUUGAGGACUGGAGAGGAGACUGGAAUUUACGGUGUAGCGGUGAAAUGCUUAGAUAUCGGGAGGAACACCAGUGGCGAAGGCGACUUCCUGGCCUGUUUCUUUGACGCUGAGGCGCGAAAGCUAGGGUAGCAAACGGG
rnacentral:rRNA from 1 species